GAGCGAUCGUAGCAAUACGGGAGCGGCAAACGGGGUAGGAAUACAUCGGAACGUACCCUCUGGUCGAGGAUAGCGUCGGGAAACUGACGGUAAUACUCGAUAAAGUCGAGAGACCAAAGGUUUACUGCCGGAGGAGCGGCCGAUGCGAUAUUAGGUAGUUGGUGGGGUAAUGGCCUACCAAGCCUGAGAUGUCUAGGGGGUGUGAGAGCAUGGCCCCCACCACUGGGACUGAGAAACUGCCCAGACACCUACGGGUGGCUGCAGUCGAGGAUCUUCGUCAAUGGGCGAAAGCCUGAACGAGCGACGCCGCGUGCGGGAUGAAGGCCCUUGGGUUGUAAACCGCUGUCAGGGGGAUGAAACCGCAAGGUUGACAGAGCCCCAGAGGAAGCACGGGCUAAGUUCGUGCCAGCAGCCGCGGUAAUACGAACUGUGCGAACGUUACUCGGAAUCACUGGGCUUACAGGGUGCGUAGGCGGCUUGCUAAGCAGGGUGUGAAAUCCCUCGGCUCAACCGAGGAACUGCGCUCUGAACUGGG
rnacentral:rRNA from 1 species